UACAGAGGUCCCAAGCGUUGUUCGGAUUCACUGGGCGUAAAGGGUGCGUAGGCGGUCGGGGUAAGUCUGAUGUGAAAAUCUCACAGCUUAACUGUGAAACUGCAUUGGAUACUAUCCGGCUCGAGGAAUGGAGGGGAGACUGGAAUACUUGGUGUAGCAGUGAAAUGCGUAGAUAUCAAGUGGAACACCAGUGGCGAAGGCGAGUCUCUGGACAUUUCCUGACGCUGAGGCACGAAAGCCAGGGGAGCAAACGGG
rnacentral:rRNA from 1 species